UUCUUUUUAUUAUGCUUUUUCAUGUUAGAAUCCAGCUGUGCAGCCUUGGUAUGGUGGCAUUUACUGCAGAGAAGUUAAGGUCCCAGUAGUGCAAAAGAAAAUCACUUGAUCUAAAAUGAAGAGAGGUGGAAUGCAUACAAACCUACCUGAGGCUAUUUCAAAGACACCACAGAGAAUUCCUCCAUCAACAGCACAGGCACAGGCGUUGUGGUUUUACUCCAAGUAUCACAUGGAAGCUAUAUGCAUUGUUGGAUAUCGACUGAACUGAAAAUUUUUUGUGUAAUUUAUUAUAUGUUCACUACUAUGUAAAGUGUCAGGAAUGCAUAAGACAUGGCCCCUAUCAUUAAGAGAAUAUUGUUGGAGAGAAAGAGAGGUAAGCAAUAAUAAAGUGGUUUUUCAAUGUUUGUAAAAGUAAGGAUUAUUCCAAAAAAUACCUCAAUUAAUCUUACUUGAGAAAGA
rnacentral:lncRNA from 1 species